GAUGAACGCUGGCGGCGUGCCUAAUACAUGCAAGUCGAGCGAACAGACGAGGAGCUUGCUCCUCUGACAUUAGCGGCGGACGGGUGAGUAACACGUGGAUAACCUACCUUUAAGACUGGGAUAACUUCGGGAAACCAGAGCUAAUACCGGAUAAUAUAUUGAAACGCAUGGUUCAAUAUUGAAAGACGCUUUUGCUUUCCCUUAUAAAUGGAUCCCGUUCGAUUUGGCUGGUUGGUAAGGUAACGCCUUACAAAGGGGACGAUUCGAACCCAACCUGGAGGGGGGACGGGCCACAUGGGAACUGGAACACGGCCCAAACUCCUACGGGAGGCGGCAGUAGGGAAUCUUCCGCAAUGGGCGAAAGCUUGACGGGGCAACGCCGCGGGAGGGAGAAAGGUUUUGGGUCCGUAAACCUCUGUUAUAGAGGAAAAACAAAUGGGGAAGGGAAUAUGCACGUCGUGACGGUACCUAAUCAGAAAGCGACGGCUAACUACGUG
rnacentral:rRNA from 1 species